UGGAAAUAGUAGUCUGAAAAGCAUCAGGUAACAUUAAUUUGGCCCCAUUAAAUCUUUAUUUGGUGCUCUAUAACAGAGAUGAUCAUU